GACUACAGGGGUAUCUAAGCCUGUUUGCUCCCCACGCUUUCGUCUCUCAGUGUCAGGAACGAGCCAGAAACCUGCCUUCGCCAUUGGUGUUCCUCACGAUAUCUACGCAUUUCACUGCUACACCGUGAAUUCCAGUUUCCUCUCUCGCACUCAAUCCCGACAGUAUUUCGUGCAGUUUUUCCGUUAAGCGGAAAGAUUUCACACGAAACUAAUCGGGACACCUACAGGCGCUUUACACCUAGUAAUUCCGAACAACGCUCGCACCCUACAUAUUACCGCGGCUGCUGGCACGUAGUUGGCCGGUGCUUAUUCACAGAGUACCAUCAUCCCUUGCGGGUUUUGUCCCCUGUAAAAGAAGUUUACAAUCCGAAGGCUGUCAUCCUUCACGCGGCGUCGCUGCAUCAGGCUUUCGCCCAUUGUGCAAUAUUCCCCACUGCUGCCCCCCGUAGG
rnacentral:rRNA from 1 species